GUUUUAACAUUUAGGGAUUAUCUAAUUUGAAAAAUUCUCAAUAGAAGUUUUUUUUGUUUGUUUGUUUUGUUUUGUUUUAUAUUAAGGUGUUUACUAUGCUUCAGGAUCUAGUUAAAAUGCCAUAUUUACUAACUUCAAUGUAGGUGGUAAAAACACGGUGGGUUUUUUUUUUAUUUUUUUAGUUGUAGAUGGACACAAUACUUUUAUUUAUUUUUAUGUGGUGCUGAGAUCGAACCCAGUGCCUUAUACACGCUAGGCAAGGGUGCUACCACUGAGCCACAAUCCCAGCCCUGGUAAAAACAUGUUUUAAUCCUCUGGCACUUAUGAAAGUACUUAUCAAUUUUUUUUUUUAACUACAAGUGCUCUACCACUGAGCCACACACACACAGCCUGCCCUGUGUCUGCACCCACCACUAAACUCUAAGCUCUAGAGGACUUAUUUGUGACUACUAAACAAUGACUAGAGCUUGGCUUUUUAGUACCUAUUUGUUGAAUGAAUUAACUAACUGAUUAGUAUCUUAAUGUCAGAGUCCAGUUUCAAAUAAACUUUAAUCUUUUAAUAAUUUUAGGCUUACAGAGUUGUGAAGGUAGUAAGGGUUCUCAUAUACUUCUUAUACAAUUUUAGUUUCUUCUAACUCCAUUAUGUUAUAGUUCAAUGGUACAUUUGUCAACCACAAGAAGCCAACAUUGGUACAUUGUUAUGAAGUAAGCUCCUGACUUUUUUUGAAAUUUAAUUCACUUUCCAUUAGUGUUCCAUUUCUAUUCCUGUAUGCGAUCCAGCACUCUGAAUUAGAUAGGAUAGAUAGUAAAACAUGGUUAAGGAAAUGCCCCUUCCCGCCUUAAAAAAAGAGGCUUUUCUAAAUGAACAGGCUACUCCAUGAAAUUAACCUGUAGAAAUAUCCCAAACAUUCCAGCCAACUCCUUUGUCUCAGGCAGCAGGAAAAGGGAGGUGGGACAAAUCUGAGUAAAGGCCACAGGCUCAAAUGCUAAACAACAGCCUUAACACUUUUCCAAUACCUGAUUAGCAUAAAUAACCAAUAGUUACAUAAGUCCCUAACUAGUCCCCUAUCAUAUCCCCUCUCACCCUGCAAGAAAUCUGUCUCUUCUUCUCACUUGAAUAAAUCCUAUUCUUUUAAACUCACUCCUCCUCAUUGAUUGAUUUCAUUCUUUGAAUUUGUGAAGCAAGAACCCAGAAAGAAGUCACUGGCAGGUGGCUGGGCUUCUGCUGCAGCACCACAACAGUUGAGGCUGAAAAUCCACUUUUAGUACUACAUUUUGCUUCGUUAUCAUGUCACCUUUGUGUUUCCUGGUCUAUGACUGUUUCUCAGUCUUCCCUUGUUUUUCAUGACCUUGACAGUUUUAAAGGAAUAAUGAUUACAUAUUUUGUCAAGUGUCCUUAGAGUUGGUUUUAACUGAUGUUUUUCUCAUGAUUAGACUGAGGCAACAGAUUUUUGGAAAGAGUGUCACUGAGGUGAAAUGUCCUUAUUUUCCCACACAUAGGAACAUAAUAUGCAUGCAAUAUCACUGGUGAUGUUAACCUUGGCAUAUCAUUAAGGUAGUGUUUGCCAGAUUUAUUCCUCUAUAAAGUUACCAUUUUUCUCCAUUCUUUAGAAGUAGGUCAGUAAAUCCAACCAAUUCACAAAGGAGAGAAGGAGGUAUUUGCCAAAAUUAUUUGGGACAACAUCAUUCUAAAUGAAGAAAAAUUGAAAACAUUCUCUAAAAACUGGAACAAGACAGGGAUGCCCUCUUUCACCACUUCUGUUUGACAUAAAUCUUGAAACACUGGCCAGAGCAAUUAGACUGACGAAAGAAAUUAAAGGGAUACAAAUAGGUAAAGAAGAACUCAAAUUAGCACUAUUUGCUAACAAUAGGAUUCUAUAUCUACAAAACCCAAAAGAUUCCACCAGAAAACUUCUAGAACUAGUAGAUGAAUUUAGAAAAGUAGCAGGAUACAAAAUCAACACCCAUAAAUCAAAGGCAUUUCUGUAUAUCAGUGACAAAUCCUCUGAAAGGGAAACAAGAAAAACUCCGCCAUUUACAAUAGCCUCAAAAAAAAUAAAUAAAUAAAAUACUUGGGAAUCAACCUAAUGAAAGGGGUGAAAGACUUCUACAAUGAAAACUACAGAAUGCUAAAGAAAUAAAUUAAAAGAAGACCUUAGAAAAUGGAAAGAUCUCCCUUGUUCUUGGAUAGGCAGAAGUAAUAUUGUCAAAAUGAUCAUAGUACCAAAAAUACUAUACAGAUGUAAUGCAAUUCCAAUCAAAAUCCAAAUGACAUUCCUCAUAGAUAUAGUAUGAAAUUCAUCUGGAAAAAUAAGGAACCCGGAAUAGCUAAAGCAAUCCUUAGCAAGAAUAUUGAAGCAGGUGGCAUCACUAUACCAGAUCUUACACUACACUACAAAGCAAUAGUAACAAAAACAGCAUGGUAUUGGCACCAAAAUAUAUUGGUAGACCAAUGGUACAGAAUAGAGGACACAGAGACUAACCCACAUAAUUACAGUUACCCUAUAUUAGACAAAAUCACAAAAAAUAUACAUUAGAGAAAAGACAAUCUCUUCAACAAAUGGUGCUGGGAAAACUGGAAAUCCAUAUGCAACAAAAUGAAAUUAAAUCCCUAUCUCUCACCAUGCACAAAACUCAACUCAAAGUGGAUCAAAGACCUAGGAAUUAAACCAGAGACACUGUGCCUAUUAGAAGAAAAAGUAGGCCCAAAUCUCUAUCUUGUUGGAUUAGGCCCCAACGUCCUUAAUAAGACUCCUAUAGCACAAGAAUUAAAAUCAAGAAUCAAUAAAUGGGAUGGAUUCAAACUAAAAAGCUUCUCCAUGCAAAAGAAACAAUAAGUGAAGUGAACAGAGUCUACAGCUUGGGAGCAAAUUUUUACCACUCACACAUCAGAUAGAGCACUAAUCUCUAGGGUAUAUAAGGAAUUCAAAAAGCUAAAUACCACAAAAACAAAUAACCCAAUCAAUAAAUUGGCCAAGGAACUGAACAGACACCUCUCAGAAGAUAAUACACAAUCAAUCAACAAAUAUAUGAAGAGAUGUUCAUCAUCUCUAGCAAUUAGAGAAAUGCAAAUCAAAACUACUCUAAGAUUUCAUCUUACUCCAGUCAGAAAGGCAGCUAUUAAAAACACAACAAACGACAGUAAGUGUUGGUGAGGAUGUGGGGGGAAAAGGCACACUCAUACAUUGCUGGUGGGCCUGAAAAUUGGUGCAGCCAAUAUGAAAAGCAGUAUGGAGAUUCCUUAGAAAGCUUGGAAUGGAACCACCAUUUGACCCAGCUAUCCCACUCCUCAGUCUAUAUCCAAAGGAUAUAAAAACAGCCACAUCAAUGUUAUAGCAGCACAAUUCACAAUAGCUAAAAUAUGGAACCAAUACAGAUGCCCUUCAGUAGAUGAAUAGAUAAAGAAAUUAUGGUAUAUAUAUACACAAUGGAAUAUUACUGAGUGAUGAAAGAGAAUAAAAUCAUGGCAUUUACACGUAAAUGGAUGGAGUUGGAGAAUAUAAUGCUAAGUGAAGUUAGCCAAUCCCAAAAAACUAAAUGCCAAAUGUUUUCUCUGAUUUAAGGAUGCUGAUUCAUAAUGGUGUUG
rnacentral:lncRNA from 1 species